UUAUGCGCCUAGUUUACAUUAAUUAUAAUAAUCUUAAAUGUUUGAAAAAGUGGACAGAUCUUUCUUUCCUGGUCAAACAUUAGGUCUUGAGGGACACUUUCAAUAUUUUCUUUAGCAAACCAUAAUUAAAAUAGUGGAACUAGUUAGUCGGUUGUUUCGAUUUUGAGAACAAAUUUCUCCAUUAUAGCAUUAAGACGCUUGCGCUCCUUGAGCUGUUGC